GAUGAACGCUGGCGGCGUACCUAAUACAUGCAAGUCGAGCGAACAGACGAGGAGCUUGCUCCUCUGACGUUAGCGGCGGACGGGUGAGUAACACGUGGAUAACCUACCUAUAAGACUGGGAUAACUUCGGGAAACCGGAGCUAAUACCGGAGAAUAUAUUGAACCGCAUGGUUCAAUAGUGAAAGACGGUUUUGCUGUCACUUAUAGAGGGAUCCGCGCCGCAUUAGCUAGUUGGUAAGGUAACGGCUUACCAAGGCGACGAUGCGUAGCCGACCUGAGAGGGUGAUAGGCCACACUGGAACUGAGACACGGUCCAGACUCCUACGGGAGGCAGCAGUAGGGAAUCUUCCGCAAUGGGCGAAAGCCUGACGGAGCAACGCCGCGUGAGUGAUGAAGGUCUUCGGAUCGUAAAACUCUGUUAUUAGGGAAGAACAAAUGUGUAAGUAACUAUGCACGUCUUGACGGUACCUAAUCAGAAAGCCACGGCUAACUACGUG
rnacentral:rRNA from 1 species